GUAUACCAGUCAUUGUUACCUCACUGCUAACUCCAGUGGUAACAUAACCUCCUGUCUUACUUGCUGUUCCCAAGGAUUAUAAUAACGACUACAUCAUACUAUGGAGAUUUGUUGACUUGAUUAUUCCUCACAACACUUCAUUCUUUCAGAGUCAUCAACUUCCAUACUAUUGUCCCACCUUCUAGGUGCACCGAGCCUGGAAAGGGUGUGGUGGAGGCAUAGGAGCUGAGAGCACCAGCCGCAGGAACCAGCAGAACCAGUUCUGCUCUGUAUAGCCUGGGAAAUCCUGCCUUCAAAGACAUGACUCGAUUGCUUUUACUAGAAUAUCCAGCUCACAUUCAGAUCAAGCUGAUAUUGAUAACAUUGUAGUCACAGCACAAUUUUGUUUCUGUUACAUUGGGAUUACUAUCUUUCCUUCGUGUAAUUCAUAAUGACAAGUGCUAUGUAUAAAGAAGGUUGUGGAAAGGUGAACAAAUGGAGCAUUAAGAUUGAGUCCAGUGGCGAUAUCAGGAAGGGAAGAGUCGGUAAGUCAUUAUAUAUGAUACAUAGGUCAAGACAGACUGACCUGAACAGCUAACAACUCAUUAAUAAUGUAUUUGUUCUCAAGCAAUCUUUUGAUUGUUCAUGGAUUCUCUCCUCACACAUAUAUUUUUAUGUUUACAUAUUGUUUUCAUCCACGGUGGUGACAAUCCUUCAAGACUCAUUUCAAUUUGAAAGAGUAAAGGUUUCCAGAAGAGUGAAUCUACCCUAAAUGAAUGUCCUCAGGGGACUUCCUUAGAUUGCUAUGAUCUUUAGAAGGGGACAUUUUGUUUUAAAUGAUGGAGACAGUUUGUCAUGGGAAUUCCUAAAUACUGAAUGUUAAGGUAAUUCACAAAGCAAUUGAGUUAACCAAUCUGAUAUUGUAUUAUAAAACAAAACAAUUUACUAAAAGGUUAUAGCUCAGACUGUAGGAAAACUUGGCUAUUAUUUAGGAACAAACAGAAAAAGAAAAUUUACUGAAGGAAAAUACUCUCUACCUGAGAUUAAAAAGGAGAAAUAGGUCAGCUAUAGACUGUAGGUUUGAAACUGAUAAAUACAAAAGAAAUUUAGGACAAGAGGCUAUUACAUCAGACAAUUAGAGGAAGGAAAGGGCAGCUGAUAAGUAGAGACUGUAAUUUCUCAGCAGAAGAAUUAAGGACUAUGAACAAUUCUCUGCUUUUUUUUCACCCAUUUGCUCUGUAUGUAUGUCUACUUUUACUUGAUGGCUGGCAGUGCAGGGAUGUGAGCUUACUUAGCUCUAAAUUGCCAUCAGACAAGAGAUUUAAGGGAUGAAUCUAGGCCCUCCUUUAAGACACAUGAAAAACAGACCCAUUAUAGCUUGAUUCAUAUGGAACAAGUCACUAGGCUGACACCCACUCAUUUCCUUUCAAUCACAGUGCAGGGGAGUUUCCUGUUUAAUCACUUCUCAGAUGGUCAUAAUUUUGUUAGGUUCAUCCUUUUCUCUUGAUGAUCACCAUGAAUUCAGUAUUAGAAAACAUAUGAUAUGCUAAUUAGGAGUUGCUGUACUGUGUAUAGAAUAAAUAGCUUGGCUGAAUCAACAAGAAGCUGGAAAUAAUAAACACAGAGAGAAGGUGGGGUAAUUGGUCAGGUAAAAACAAAUAAAAAAAUCCCUCUUUUAUUCAGUUCAUGAGGACAGCGGUUACAUACAGACUAUAGAAGUUCGCACAGGAAGUAUAAAAGCAGGAGAAGACUGAGAGUAAAGAAACUCAAUAAAGUCAACAACUGCUGUUGCUGAUGAAUGAAAAUAUGUCGACAAUUGGGUAAACUAAAAAAAAAAGUGCUGAAAAUAUACCAAAUUAGGCAAUGGAGUAACAGUCUGCCCUAUUAUUCUCUACAAUUCAGUAGCUGUUCUGGUUCCAUUUAAGGAUGUAGCCAUUUAUUUAAAAACAAAAGAGAUAGAAAAUAAAUGUAAAUUUCUAGGCUUGUUUAAAAUGAUUGACGGAAAUUAUCACUAAAUCACGGAUAUGUCUAACACAGGUGGUAACAUGUAGGAUGACAGUUUUAUCUGUAAUAAGGUACAUCCUGUGCAGGGCUCCUUACAGCACAAAAUCAUUUUUCCAGACAGCUUUCUAUUCCACAUAGAAAAUAUUUUCCAUGAGUCAUUUUGUCCAAAUGUAAAAGCGAAUUAACUUUGAUUGUUCUUGUGUCCUUUUAUGUUUGCUGUCUAAGAACAUUUAGGUGAUACAAUGUGUGCAGAAAGUGAAUUUUAAGGGUAGUCUCCUCAUGUUCUAUUGGAUGCUGUAUGUUAAACUCUCCAGUAUUCUCCAUGCUCACCUAGUUAGUUUGUGAAAAAUUAAUGUGAUGCUUAGGAUCAUGUAAAAAAUGGUAAUUGCAGAACUCCAGAGCUCCCUUUUCUGCCUCCUAAAAUCCAUACUCAUCAACAGUUGAAUCAUAUAUUCUUCAUCUUUCACCCAUCAAAUACUUUUCUGCAGCUCUUUUGAAUUAAGAGUAUUAAGCGAGUUCCUUCCUUGCCACAUUUGCCACAAAAAAUGAGGCUGUCAUUCACUCCCUCUGUAAUCAAGAUAGCUGAACAAGGGCCAUCUGAUCCUCUCUUGUUACUUCAUGACAAAAAUUAUUUUGAGAAAAUAUCUGAAGAUAUUGCUGAGAUAAAAAGUGUUACAUGAAGUGAGCAUGCAUGGUUGGUCAUUGAGAACGAGGGAAGCUGAAAAUAGAACCUCCCUGUGAAAAGCACCAUCACAGACCUCAAAUACAGCACCAGAAAGAGGACUAUUAAGACAAAACAAGAGACUGAGGGAAGAUCAGGGAGAAACGACUUAAGAAUUGUGAUCUUCCACAGUGGAUGCAAAAAAAGGAGUACAGUGGUGUUAGCUGGUGAUAAGGGAGCGUGCAAUAAGAACAAUGAUGAAUCUUUAACAUAACAUGUAAUCUGACAGAUAGAAGUAAGAGGAGCUAGUGAAGGAGGGCAAAAGAUCUUUAUGCUUCUUUCAAUCAGACUGCUCAUCAACUAAUGCUACCAGCAACUAGCUUCGAUCAAAAUUAUCCAAGACUGUUAGGUUUCAUCCCAAGCCUAUUCAAGAAGCAAUUACUUAUACUUAUAGGCUUGAAUGAUUUAUAUCUACCAGGAGUGUUUACUGACUCUUUCAGCCAGAAUUUAGCAUGGAAGUUGCACAAUCCUGCUUGAGCACAUCUACUGAUUUGUUGCAUGCCACUGCUCCAUCUCUUGAGCUAUCUCUGGCAGUCUUCUGGUAUUGUGAUCAGCUGAUCAAUCUAAAUAAAAUGAAGUAAAAUGAAACCAGCAAAAGUCAAACACAAAUUCUGCUGGUUCAGGAAGCUGAACUGGUUCACACUGCAGAUAGAGGAAUGUCAGAGCGAGUGCAAAGGAGGGAAUAGGGCAUGCAACUGAGGGUGGGUUAGAGGAAAAAGCACAAGGGGGACUGACUGGUUUUGUGACAGCCGUACUGUGAAUAUUCACCUUUAGAUAUUGGAGGAUAGCCACUGCUCCUUUGCACAAAACCCCUGGAUUUGGUUAUGAGAUUUUGAAAAACAGUAAGAGAAUUUCAUCCUUUAAAAAACCUGGAAGAUUCAGAUACAACAUAGAAACGACAAGUGCUGGUGAUUUUCCCUAAUGUGCUUAAGGACUUGAUGGAAAAAGGGAUCAAAUUCAACACAUGAAAAGCCAUUACUGAAGUCAGGAACUGAAUUAUACUAUUUUCUUUCCUGCAACUUUUAAGCUGGUAAAGGAGAAGAGAAUGUUUUGUUUUAUGAAAAGAAGGUUUGAAACAAGUCCAAUAUUACCACAACAGAAGACCCUCUCCCCACUAAAGAUAAUGAAGACAAGAUGACAUGAAGUGUCUUAAAAGAUGGGUGACUAUUUUGUUAAAUUUCAGUUUUCAGUUUAUUCUUAAACUGUGAUGGGUAAAGCCAUUUCAUCUUCCUUUUUAACUCUUUGUUUUCCUUUCUUAAGGUCUCCUUGAUUUUACCAGCAGAGGGAGCAGGUUGAAGAGCAAAUGGGUAGGGAGAAGGAAGUGACUCUGAUUGAACUUUGAUCUUUGCCCUUUCUCCAGACAGAGAAAACAAGGGCAGGUUUCAGCAGCUGCUGUUAGUGGGUCAGAGGAUCCACGACAGGAAUAUACUUGCUUUGCUUGAAUUCUUCCUUCUUCCUUUUAGAGUUACAGCUUCUGGCAGCAGAGCUGUCUUUGAGAGCUUGACUAUUCUACUAAUCCUGGCUCAUUUUCAUCCCUGUGGACUGGCAAUAUUUAGCAGAAAACUGUGGAUGAAUUCUCUAGUUGACAUUUUUAACUCAGCCACACACUACUUCCAACCCUUCCUUUAGCCUCUCUCAUGUGAUUUCACUAUGUCUCAACCAUUUUGCUAGUAUUGGGCUUUACUGUAAAUCUGGAAACAUCCAGCCUAUUUGUGUAAAAUGAAUACUCAUAAGGGAAUUCAUAUCUGAAUAAUGCAAUGCUAGUUUUGAUCUCAUGGAGGAGUCUUUCAGUUCACUCACCGCUCUCGUAAGGGGAUUUGAUAUGUUAAGAUCUUGGUCAAGACUAAUGAAUUACAAGCCAUUAAAUGUUUUAUCUGAAAUUGUUAGUGUUCUCUUAAAAGCACCUGUUUUUCUUCCCCUCUCUCAUUUCUGUCUAUUCACAGAUAGCUUCCUCUGCAUCAUUCCUGAAAAUGAAAUGGACUCAAUGCCUAAUAAUGAAAUUAAGCCAAUUACAGUUUCUGAUUGUGCACCAAAGAUACUGCAGUUUUCUCCUUUUCAGAAAAACUCAGCAUGUAGAAAGACGGAGACUAGCACUCUUUCUCUUUGAAUUAAAAGCAUUUGGGUAGUUUGGGGUUAUUUUCCUUAAAACAAAUGUCACUUUAUGGGACAUGGAAAACAGUUUACAAGGAUUAGGUAUUGUUCUGUCCUUAGUAAGGAGGCAGAGGACCAACAGGAUCAGGUCAUAGAUUUAGUGAAAUUCUUGAUAACAGACUUCUCAGACAGACACUCCUGGUAAAAUCUUUACAAAGUAAUUAAACACAAACAUGAAGUAAACAGGCUCCUCUCAGUCCAAACUCAAGUUGCCUUUUUUCAAGCUCCAUCGUGUGGGGUUUUCAGCAAGACAAACUUCUUCCAUACAGAGCAAAGGUGAGAACCCAAUAGAUUUGAAACCAGUGUCGUUUGAAUCAGAUCAAAGGCAAGUAAUUACUAAUCAAAAAGCGAUCAGUGACCAGUUUUUGAAAUUCUAUCCAGCACUUUACAAAAAUGAUUCACCACCCAGCACAGGGGAAAUGAGUGGCUUUGUAACAACUGUAGGCUCCCACAGCAGAGCUACAGGUGUGGCUAGUCUCUCCUCCACCCAAGGAGAUAAGCAAGGCUUUGAAGGAAAAGAGCAGAGCCAAAGCCCUUAGCUCUGUUGCUCAGCCUGGAGAAAUACACCAACUCUUCAAGAAAAUGCUCAGCUUUGAGCUGGUAAGCAGUUACCUAGACAAUCUAGCGAAAGAUUACCACCAGCUAGAAGAAAAGUUUUAAAAUCUCUUCUCCCUAAAGUGGACAACAUUGUGCAGAACCACAACCAGUUGUUUGCCUAUCUUCCUUAUAAAUGCUCAUAUGAAAUUAUUUUAGGCUAUACCUGGUAGGAAAUUUGAGGAUGUCAUGAGUGACCUUGUCCAGGCUAAUCAGGUUAGAUUUGUUUUCUAAAAAGUUCAGACAACAAUCAGUUGAUUAGUAUUAUGGCAUCCCAUCCACAUUCUAUAGUCCUUAGGCAGCCAUUCUGCUCUAAACAGAGAAUGUGUUUGACUGACUGAACUAGCAGGACAUUGAAUAUUAGAUAAAUCGGUAGUUGGCAACUUUUUUUCCAUUUGUGGACUCAUAAAUGUUUUCCAGUGAAAGCACAGAUCCCUGAAGAGUGAAUUUAACUGACUGACAAUAGCCUUGUUCUUCUCAGUUGCCUUUCCUGGACCCCUCAGAAGUAUCCUGAUCAUGGACUGAAAAUCACUGAUACAUAUAUAUGUUCACAUGUGACUCUGUGUGUGAAAUAGUCUCAAGUCUAAUUCCCUGAUAAACACAUUUUUCCCCUUGUCUCUUUAUUAACCUCUUUCAAGCAACUACUCAGGAGUGUCUCUUCACCCCACUCUGACGAGAAUGUACUCCUAAGGAAUACAAUGGUACACGUGUGCUCAAGACAAGAGUUUAGAAGAUAAAAAUACUUUCACCUGCAAAUGAUAUCCUCUUGCUUGAUACAAUCCCAGAUCAAUUUAGUCUGUACUGUAUUCUUUAUAAAUAAAUUAGAAUAAAUUGAAA